CCUACGAGAGGCUGCAGUGAGGAAUAUUGGUCAAUGGGCGCGAGCCUGAACCAGCCAAGUAGCGUGAAGGAUGACUGCCCUACGGGUUGUAAACUUCUUUUAUAAAGGAAUAAAGUGAGUCACGUGUGCCUUUUUGUAUGUACUUUAUGAAUAAGGAUCGGCUAACUCCGUGCCAGCAGCCGCGGUAAUACGGAGGAUCCGAGCGUUACCCGGAUUUAUUGGGUUUAAGGGGAGCGUAGAUGGGUUGUUAAGUCAGUUGUGAAAGUUUGCGGCUCAACCGUAAAAUUGCAAUUGAUACUGGCAGUCUUGAGUACAGUUGAGGUAGGCGGAAUUCGUGGUGUAGCGGUGAAAUGCUUAGAUAUCACGAAGAACUCCGAUUGCGAAGGCAGCUUACUAAACUGCCACUGACAUUGAUGCUCGAAAGUGUGGGUAUCAAACAGGAUUAGAUACCCGAGUAGUC
rnacentral:rRNA from 1 species